rnacentral:rRNA from 1 species
AGAGUUUGAUCAUGGCUCAGAACGAACGCUGGCGGCAGGCUUAACACAUGCAAGUCGAACGGACAGUAUGUAGCUUGCUACAUACUGUUAGUGGCAGACGGGUGAGUAAUGUACAGGAAUCUACCGAGUAGUACGGAAUAGCCUCUGGAAACGGAGGGUAAUACCGAAUAAUCCCUGAGGGGCAAAGAUUUAUCGCUAUU